CAAAAAUAAGCUGCCUUUUCAACCAAAGCACUUCUUCAUGAACUGUGGGGGCUUCUGAAAGCUCCUGGCAUCCCCUGUGUCCGUGGGGCAGCUCAGAAGUUCUUGCCGUGCUGCUGGGCGUACCACUGCUGCCGCUGCUUGCGGUGCUCCAGCUCUGUGAGCAGGGCCUGCCUGUAGGCCUCGUACAGCUUCACAAUGCGCUCCAGCUCCUUCAUGAAGAGCAGCUUCAGCAUGCCCUGGUACGUGUCCAGGUCUGCCAGCUGGAACAGCUCCCACUUCAGGAUGUGGUCGUACUUGACAGGAGCCCUGGCGUAGACCUGCAGCCAGUCUGGAAUCUCAGCAGUGUGGUAGGGGUUGGCAGGGACAAGGAGGGGCUGGCUUCUCUCUGCCUGCUGGGGCUGGUAGGUCACUGGGGGAGGCUGGUCGUAACGGGGAACGCUGGGAGCACAAGGAUGUUUGUAUUGAGCUCGUUUAUUGAUGUGAUCCACAUAAUACACUCCAAACUCUGCGGACUCCACUCUCUCCCAGCCCGGCGGCAGCCCCUCUCGCUCCAGGGGAUGGCUCCAAUGCGUUGUGUUGGUGUUGUGGUCGAUGUAGUACUUUCUUCCUCUGAUAGUCCAGUCCACCGACCAGCCAGGGGGAAGAGGUAAGUCUUCAGAGCUGUGAUUUGUUAGAUUUCCUAGAGAUGUAGCAGCAACUCUCCCGAUGCCUGACGUGCGCCGCCCAGGGUUGUGAGACAUCCUCUGGAAAAGCUCCCCGCUGUGCUCAUAGUAUCUGUAGUCCUCAUGCAAGCGAUCAUUCAACUGACGUCUCCUCUGGGCAUCAUAGAAGUGAUCAUAAUAGUAACAACGUGUGCCGGCAUCUCCAUUUUCCAUAACCGAGUUGGUUUCUGUUAGAAAGGACUGGGAGGAAGAGCCAUAUUCUCUAGCAACAUCAGCUAAACUUCGAGCGAAGUAGGAAGGUGCAGACAGUCUGUUGCUUUCACGCCUCAUUAUUUCAUGGGGCGGCCUCUGCACUGGUGUUCGAAGGAAACUCUGGUUUCUGGAAACAGCUCCAUCUCCACCGGAGCCAUAAGCAGAAGGACUCGGGUCAGGAGGGCAGAUAUCAGUUCGUCUUGGAAUGGUCGGACCAUGACGGAUAAAGGAAGGCAUUAGAUUGCGGAGCAGCGGGCUGGUCUCCUUCUUCACGUAUUUCCCCUGCACCUCGCCCGGCUUCGAGAGCUCCGUCCGCGUUUUCUUCCGCGACAGCAUCCCACCUCCUCCUCCCGGCCCGCUCCCGCCGCCCGCAUGCCCGGCUCCGCUCCGCACAGGGCCGGACCGCCCGCGGCCCCCUCAGGCGCUCAGGGCGGCGGGCGGAGGCCGUGAGCGGGGGGGCGGGCUGCGGGGCGCGGCCGCGGGGUGCCGUUAGGCGCGGGGCGUUGUGGGGCGGCGGCCCCGCCCGGCGGGGAGAGGAGACGAGAGGAAGGAUGGGGACAGAGCGGCGCGGUAGCGCGGUCACAGCGCCCCCUGGUGGACGGGAGGGCGCGCACGGCCGCGCAUCAUUCCGGCUGGACAAAGCUGCCGAGCUGACCGAGCCCAGCCCGUGCCGCACAUACCGUUCCCAUAAAAGAUGGGGGAAAAAAAAAAAAAAACACCCAAAAAACAACCCCACAGCCACAAGCAGCGAUCUUACAGUGAUUUCUUUUUAUUUCUUACAUUCAUUUAUAAAUAACACGUAGGUUGGUUCCUCCUGCUUUACAUGGCGGUGUAAGGACAGCACAUCACAACAAUAAGAACUCAAUAAGAACAAACACAGCUGCUGCCGUUCACACAGCAGUGGUGGCAUCCCGCACUGCAGGCAGCCGUGGAAGACCUGAGAGAUGGCGAUGCCAUUUGCGUUGUAUCUGACAGAUCCAGGCUGCCCCCAGC
rnacentral:lncRNA from 1 species